rnacentral:rRNA from 1 species
AUUGAACGCUGGCGGCAGGCCUAACACAUGCAAGUCGAACGAGUGGCGGACGGGUGAGUAAUGUCUGGGAAACUGCCUGAUGGAGGGGGAUAACUACUGGAAACGGUAGCUAAUACCGCAUACCAUCAGAUGUGCCCAGAUGGGAUUAGCUUGUUGGUGGGGUAACGGCUCACCAAGGCGACGAUCCCUAGCUGGUCUGAGAGGAUGACCAGCCCACAUGGGACUGGGAAACGGUCCAGACUCCUUCGGGAGGCAUGCGGGGGGAAUAUUUGACCAUUGGCGCCAGCCCUAUUGAGCCAUGCCGCGGUUAUGAAGAAGGCCUUCGGGUUGUAAAGUACUUUCAGCGGGGAGGCGUUACCCGCAGAAGAAGCACCGGCUAACUCCGUGCCAGCAGCCGCGGUAAUAC